UACGUAGGGUGCGAGCGUUGUCCGGAAUUCUUGGGCGUAAAGAGCUUGUAGGCGGUCUGUCGCGUCUGCUGUGAAAAUCCGGGGCUCAACCCCGGACUUGCAGUGGGUACGGGCAGACUAGAGUGUGGUAGGGGAGACUGGAAUUCCUGGUGUAGCGGUGAAAUGCGCAGAUAUCAGGAGGAACACCGAUGGCGAAGGCAGGUCUCUGGGCCACUACUGACGCUGAGAAGCGAAAGCAUGGGGAGCGAACAGG
rnacentral:rRNA from 1 species